rnacentral:lncRNA from 1 species
CAGCUCGGGACUGGAGGUGGAUGGGUGAUGGGGGGGGGCACGGGGACAAGGGACAGGGCAGGGUGGGGUGAGAGGGGAUGGAAUGGUGGCAGGAUGGGACAGGGGUGGGAGAGGACAAGGGCAGGACAGGGGGACAGUGGUGAGAUGGGCUAGUGGCUGGAUGGGAUGAUGGUGGGAUGGGGUGGACAGCGGUGGUGGGAUGAGAUGGUGGCUGGAUGGGAUUGUGGUGGGAUGGGAUUGUGGUGGGGUGAUGGUGAUGAUGGGACAGGAUGGGUGGUGCUGGGCUGAGCUAGGCCAGUGACAAGACACAACAGUGACACGAUGGUGUGGUGGACUGGGAUGAGCGGUGGGAUGAGCUGAUGGGAUGGUGGUGGGAUGGGAUGGUGGCUGGAUGAGAUGGUGCAGCGGGAUGGGAUGGUGGUGGGAUGGGAUGACAAUGGUGGGAUGGGAUGACAGUGGUGGGAUGGGAUGGUGGCUGGAUGGGAUGGGAUGACAACAGUGAGAUGGGAUGGUGGCAGGAUGACAAUGGUGGGGUGGGGUGGGGGGGGGGCAAGACACAACAGUGACACGAUGGUGUGGUGGACUGGGAUGAGCGGUGGGAUGGGAUGGGAUGACAAUGGUGGGAUGGGAUGGUGGCUGGAUGAGAUGACAGUGGUGGGAUGGGAUGCUUGCUGGAUGAGAUGGUGCAGUGGGAUGGGAUGGUGGUGGGAUGGGAUGACAAUGGUGGGAUGGGAUGGAGGCUGGGUGGGAUGACAAUGGUGGGAUGGGAUGACAGUGGUGGGAUGGGAUGGUGGCUGGAUGGGACAGGACAGUGGCAAAAGGAUGGUGGUGGGUUCAGCUGACAGUGGUGGGGUGGGACAGUGGUAGGACAGCCUGGUGUGGUGGUGGGAAGGGAUGGAGACGGCACGGAGGGGCACCCACCGUCCCACCACCCCUACACCCUUGUGGGUCACCCCAACUCCCCCGACACCCCCAGGACCAGAGGAGACCCCCCACCACCACUCACUUGACGUUGAAGACCAUCAGCGGCCGCUCCUCCCGCUUCUGCCAGGGGCUUUUCCGGUCGCCCCCAUCGUCCCCCCCCUCGCCCCCCUCGGCCAACGCCUCCUCCUCGGGGCUGGUCAGGGAGUCCCGGGGGGCUUCGCUGGCGCUGCU